AGAAACCAACAGGCAUAUAAUGAGGACUCUUAAGUGGCUCUGUUGGGAGGUCCUUACAAUGAAGAACUGAGGUCUCUUGCUGGUAACUGUCACCUACUUGGUAGCCAUGUGAAUCAGGCAUCCUGCAGGUGGGUCCUCCAGCCACAGCCAAGCCUUCAAAUGACUACAUCUCCACCUGAUAUUUGGACUGCAAGCCCUUGAGAAAGCUGAGCCAGAACUACAAGUCACCUUCUGAAUCCCUGAAUCAUAGAUUGGUCAUAGGUGGAAGAAACUUGCCUUGUUUCAGAUAAGACUUUGAACUGUGGACUUUUGGGUUAUUGCUGGAACCAGAAUAUCACAGGGAGAAGAAAGAAGCCAUAGAGGAUAAAGCUGAGGAGAAGGAAAAAAAGACAAGAAAGAGAAAGAGCAGAAGAAGCAAGAGGAAGCAGAGUAGGAGAGAGAGGAAGAUGGGGGAGGAGGAAGAGGAGAAAGCUGAGAAAGCAGAACAACGACAAAUGAUAAUUACAGUAGAAGCUCACACUUACUAAGUAUUCUCUAUCUAUUAUUUCUUUAGCCUCACACCUAAGUACCAAGGGAGGUAUUUUUAUGUCUAUUUUACUGUGAAGAAACUGAAACUUAGUGAGUUAUACUGCUGAUUAGUAAUG
rnacentral:lncRNA from 13 species